rnacentral:rRNA from 1 species
UACGUAGGGGGCUAGCGUUGUCCGGAUUUAUUGGGCGUAAAGAGCGUGUAGGCGGCCAGGUAGGUCUGCUGUGAAAACUCGAGGCUCAACCUCGAGACGUCGGCGGAAACCAUCUGGCUAGAGUCCGGAAGAGGAGAGUGGAAUUCCUGGUGUAGCGGUGAAAUGCGCAGAUAUCAGGAGGAACACCAAUAGCGAAGGCAGCUCGCUGGGACGGUACUGACGCUAAGGCGCGAAAGCGUGGGGAGCGAACAGG